GGGGGAUAUUGCACAAUGGGGGAAACCCUGAUGCAGCGACGCCGCGUGGAGGAAGAAGGUUUUCGGAUUGUAAACUCCUGUCGUUAGGGACGAUAAUGACGGUACCUAACAAGAAAGCACCGGCUAACUACGUGCCAGCAGCCGCGGUAAAACGUAGGGUGCAAGCGUUGUCCGGAAUUACUGGGUGUAAAGGGAGCGCAGGCGGACCGGCAAGUUGGAAGUGAAAACUAUGGGCUCAACCCAUAAAUUGCUUUCAAAACUGCUGGCCUUGAGUAGUGCAGAGGUAGGUGGAAUUCCCGGUGUAGCGGUGGAAUGCGUAGAUAUCGGGAGGAACACCAGUGGCGAAGGCGACCUACUGGGCACCAACUGACGCUGAGGCUCGAAAGCAUGGGUAGCAAACAGGAUUAGAUACCCUGGUAGUCCAUGCCGUAAACGAUGAUUACUAGGUGUUGGAGGAUUGACCCCUUCAGUGCCGCAGUUAACACAAUAAGUAAUCCACCUGGGGAGUACGACCGCAAGGUUGAAACUCAAAGGAAUUGACGGGGGCCCGCACAAGCAGUGGAGUAUGUGGUUUAAUUCGAAGCAACGCGAAGAACCUUACCAGGUCUUGACAUCCGAUGCAUAGUGCAGAGAUGCAUGAAGUCCUUCGGGACAUCGAGACAGGUGGUGCAUGGUUGUCGUCAGCUCGUGUCGUGAGAUGUUGGGUUAAGUCCCGCAACGAGCGCAACCCUUAUUGCCAGUUACUACGUAAGAGGACUCUGGCGAGACUGCCGUUGACAAAACGGAGGAAGGUGGGGAUGACGUCAAAUCAUCAUGCCCUUUAUGACCUGGGCUACACACGUACUACAAUGGCGUUUAACAAAGAGAAGCAAGACCGCGAGGUGGAGCAAAACUCAAAAACAACGUCUCAGUUCAGAUUGCAGGCUGCAACUCGCCUGCAUGAAGUCGGAAUUGCUAGUAAUCGCGGAUCAGCAUGCCGCGGUGAAUACGUUCCCG
rnacentral:rRNA from 1 species